rnacentral:snoRNA from 1 species
UUCCUGUGAUGAUUAAUUUUAUGUGUCAACUUGACUGGGCCAUGGAGUGUGGAG